ensembl:lncRNA
GUGUGCAGGUAAGUGCCCACAGGUUUCACAGUUUCAGUCCAGGUGGGUUUCAUUGGUGUGCAAGACUGGGUUUGGCAGGUUUCUCCAAAGGUAAAGCAAGUAGGCACACCAAGAAAGAAUCUGUGAUAACUGAGGUAAGUAUUGAGCAUAUUUCAACAACAAGAAAACAAGCUUUCAUUGCUACGAGGCCUGAGUCUCAUUACCGCUCAGUAUUGCUCAACAAUCCAGCAAGGAAUUGAGAGGAUGACCAAGGUUAUAUACUGCAGAUGAAUAUACCGGUAAGUAGAAUCAGGUUUAACCCAGACAGACACGAUAGACAGAGAAAGCAAAUGGGGGAGAGAGAAGGUGGGUCAGGACCUGAGAGGACGGGGGAACUAUGACAGGUUUAUCGUUUCUCUUUGAUCAGGGCUCUGACAUGCUUUGUGUGUAGGUGCGAGUGCCUGAUAUGAGCUGUACAAGUGUACAAGUGAUUUGACAGCUGUUUCUGAAAAUCUGAGAUGCUUUUAUGAAAAGUUUCUCUUUUUUUCACCUAAUUAUGAGAACAAAUAAAUUUGUGAUGCUUUUACAUUUCAAAAGCAAAACGUCUGAAUAAUUCACUAGGGAUCGGGAUUUUGGACACAACAAAUCUUUCAUGUUUUGAAAAAUGUGUAAAAUAUUGAUGUUCUCCUUGAAUCUAUGCACAGUCAGAAUCCAACAGGAGACAUAAAUCAUGCGCAGAGUUUUCUUCUAUUUACAAUGCAAAGCAAUUUAACGAGAAGUCUUUUUUUUUUUUUGCCACGCAUUCAUUUACUUUGAAAAUGUGUCAGGAUGAGCUAUUGUGCAAUCAAACAUCUUUUCUCUGAGAUUUACCCCGCUUCCUACCACUUAGUUAAAAUGUGCAUUUACAUUGGAUCACAUAUCUAUUAAUUUUUUUUUUUUUUAAGAAGCAGCAAAUAUUUGCCAUGUUUUCAGAUGUAAAGAACUGAAUCAAUGUUUUCUCAGUGUAUUAUAAGAUCUACAGCUUGCCAAAAUUAAACUGGAAACUUUUCUUAUGUCUAUUUUUUUUUAACAUUUUUUAAGACAUGUAUUUAUUUGAACUAAUCGGCUAAUGUUUUAUUACAGUUCUUUUGCCAUUUACCAAAUUUAUAAAUACAAAAAAUCAGUAGUAGAAGAGUUUGAGGCCUAGCUGUUUUACUUUCAUCUGCUACUCCUUCACUAGGAUUUGCUACUUUGGAUAGAUCCACAUAUUUGAUCUGGCACUUUCAGCCUUCCUGAUGCAAUCCUUCCAGGGACCACAACACUCAUAGGUCAUGACAGUUUGGAUUAUGAUUGUUAUAAUUUAAUAUCUUUCUCUGACACAGAUUUAGUUUCCAUUUAUAGCAGGAUAGUAAACAUGGCCACAUGGAUAUGUGUACAUAUGUGCAUCCACUAUGUCCACUCUCUCACGCUUAUCCAUUUCAGGGUCGCAAGGGGACUGGUGCCUAUCCCAGCUACCUG